UACGUAGGUGGCAAGCGUUGUCCGGAUUUACUGGGCGUAAAGAGCGCGCAGGCGGUCGCUCAAGUCGCGUGUGAAAGCCCCCGGCUCAACUGGGGAGGGUCACGCGAUGACUGCUCGACUCGAAGGCAGGAGAGGGAAGUGGAAUUCCCGGUGUAGUGGUGAAAUGCGUAGAUAUCGGGAGGAAUACCAGUGGCGAAGGCGACUUCCUGGCCUGUUCUUGACGCUGAGGCGCGAAAGCUAGGGUAGCAAACGGG
rnacentral:rRNA from 1 species